rnacentral:misc_RNA from 1 species
CUUACAUUGGCAGGAGCAUAGCAGAGAAUUUUUUUUCUAUGUACAGGACCAUUUGUAAUGGUUAACUUAACGAAACGGAAGCCAUUUUUACAGUAGUUGUUUUGAAUUCCACAUGCAAAUGUGUUGAUGAAGGUUUUGCACUGUUGAUUAAACCCCAUCUUCAAGCCUUUCAUUGAUUCUUUAUCGGUUUUAUUAAGGAGGGAGAAAUCUGAGCAAGACAAGACACAAAUGAAGAACGAAGAGCAAGCCCGGUCUCUGUUUGGGAUUUCUCUCACUGACAGACCCAGAUGGCAACAGUUCCUCAUUUGCUCUUCUGGUUUUUUCUUUGGGUACCUUGUCAAUGGCAUCUGUGAGGAAUAUGUAUACAACCGGCUCCAAUUUAGCUAUGGUUGGUACUUCACAUUUGUUCAAAUCUUUGUCUACAUUUUCCUGAUUUAUCUCCAAGGCUUUACCACCAAGCAAAUGGUGAACACAUGGAAUACUUAUUUCAAACUCUCUGCAGUUCUUAUGGGUUCCCAUGGACUCACAAAAGGGUCUUUAGCUUUUCUUAAUUACCCUGCACAGAUCAUGUUUAAAUCCACCAAGGUUCUGCCAGUGAUGGUGAUGGGGUCCUUUAUUCCAGGACUGAGGCGGAAAUAUCCAGCUCAUGAAUACUUAUCAGCACUACUUUUGGUUGUGGGGUUGAUCCUUUUCACCUUAGCAGAUG